AAAAUAAAAGUUUAUGGUUGUUCAAGUCACUAAUUUGGGGGAUAGGUUGCUAGGCAGCAGUAGAAAAGUUAAAAAGAAAUAAAUAUCUCAAAAUCCUUUGUAAAAAUAAGUGAGAUUUAAAUAUGUAAAGCUUAAAUUAAAACACUAAAUUUGAUUAGUAGUAACUUCCUGGAGUUAGCCUCUGUGCUUCUUGUGCUUCUUUUUUUUUUUUUUUUUUUUUUUUUUUGUGACAGAGUUUUGCUCUUGUCACCUAGGCUGGAGUACAAUGGCAUGAUCUCAGCUCACUGCAACCUCUGCCUCCCGGGUUCAAAUGAUUCUCCCGUCUCAGCCUCCUGAGUAGCUGGUAUUACAGGUGCUUGCCACAAUGCCUGGCUAAUUUUUAUAUUUUUAGUGGAGACAGGGUUUCACCAUGUUGGCCAGGCUAGUCUCGAACUCUUGACCUUAAGUGAUCCACCUGCCUUGGCCUCCCAAAGUGCUGUGAUUACAGGCAUGAGCCACCAUGCCUGGCUGUGCUUCUCUAAUCAAUGUUUUUGUUGUUGUUGUUGUUGUUUGUUUUUUUUUGUUUGUUUGCUUUUUUGCAUUUGCUUGUUUUAGACUAUUUCAAGAAAAAAAUACCUCCAGCACUUACUGGAGAAGAAAUUAUCCAUCCUUUCAUUUUGUAGUGCUUAUGAGUUCUUAGAAGAUAUAAUUGGAAAAGCCAUCAAAAUGAAUUUUGCAUUGUUUAAGUUACAAUAGAGUAAUUGAUCUGUAUGACCUUGGGAAAAAUAGAGUCUCUAAUGCACUUGGGUCCUUAUACGAAGGGCUUUUUUCAAGUCCUCCAGGUCUUAUAUGAAGUGACUCUAAACACAAUGACUGUGCAACUGGGAAGGAGCCUGUUAGGGGCAGAAAUCUUGGAGACGAAAAUAGCUAGACUCAUUGGAAUCCAUUCUACUUGGCUGAAUCAUACAAAUAUAUAGUACUGCUAGGAUCUUUCCAGCUUUUGAGAAGCUUAAAGAUAAAUGACACAUAUUUAGAAAUAAAACAUGC
rnacentral:lncRNA from 1 species